UGGGUUGUGGCUCAGUGGUAGAGUACUUGCCUAGCAUGUGUAGAGCACUUCCCAAAAUUAUUGGGAAGCUGGGCAUGGUGGUGCAGCAAUUCAGGAGGCUGAGCAAGAGGAUCACACUGGGUUUGAUUCUCAGCACCACAU
rnacentral:tRNA from 1 species